UCCGGCGACCGGCGCACGGGUGAGUAACACGUAUGCAACCUACCUUUAACAGGGGGAUAACACUGAGAAAUUGGUACUAAUACCCCAUAAUAUCAUAGAAGGCAUCUUUUAUGGUUGAAAAUUCCGAUGGUUAGAGAUGGGCAUGCGUUGUAUUAGCUAGUUGGUGGGGUAACGGCUCACCAAGGCGACGAUACAUAGGGGGACUGAGACGGUUAACCCCCACACUGGUACUGAGACACGGUCCAA
rnacentral:rRNA from 1 species